rnacentral:rRNA from 1 species
UACGUAGGUGGCAAGCGUUGUCCGGAUUUACUGGGCGUAAAGAGCGCGCAGGCGGUCGUUCAAGUCGAGUGUGAAAGCCCCCGGCUCAACUGGGGAGGGUCAUUCGAUACUGAUCGACUCGAAGGCAGGAGAGGGUAGUGGAAUUCCCGGUGUAGUGGUGAAAUGCGUAGAUAUCGGGAGGAACACCAGUGGCGAAGGCGACUACCUGGCCUGUUCUUGACGCUGAGGCGCGAAAGCUAGGGGAGCAAACGGGG